rfam:Gossypium hirsutum cultivar TM-1 unplaced genomic scaffold scaffold666.1, whole genome shotgun sequence
UAUUAAAUUUUUCAUUCAUUUCUACUAUUAAAAUAUGGCAUGGCUGACAAAAUAACUAGACAAUGACAUGUGACAUAUAUCUUAUGUUGACGUACAAGAAUCAAUUUUUAACAGUAAAAAUAGAUGGAAAUUUUAAUA